rnacentral:rRNA from 1 species
UACGGAGGGUGCGAGCGUUGUCCGGAAUCAUUGGGCGUAAAGGGCGCGUAGGUGGCCCGGUCAGUCCGUGGUGAAAGCGCGGGGCUCAACCCCGCGUCGGCCAUGGAUACUGCUGGGCUGGAGCACUGUAGAGGCAGGCAGAAUUCCGGGUGUAGCGGUGGAAUGCGUAGAGAUCCGGAAGAACACCGGUGGCGAAGGCGGCCUGCUGGGCAGUUGCUGACACUGAGGCGCGACAGCGUGGGGAGCAAACAGG